rnacentral:misc_RNA from 1 species
GGAAGGAUCAUUAAUGAAAUGCAAGGAUGCUCUUUUUAGAGGUCCGAUCUUUCAUUUUCCUUACACUGUGAACUAAAUUUUUACACCCUUUUUAAACGCAUGAGUUUAAGAAUGUCACAAGUCUCUUAAUUGAGCAUAAAACUUGUAAAACUUUCGGCAACGGAUCUCUUGGCUCCCGCAUCGAUGAAGAACGCAGCGAAAUGCGAUACGUAAUGUGAAUUGCAGAAUUCAGUGAAUCAUCGAAUCUUUGAACGCAUCUUGCACUCUUUGGUAUUCCGAAGAGUAUGUCUGUUUGAGUGUCGUGAAAUUCUCAACCCUCCUAUUUUGUAAUGAAAUAGGUUGUGGGCUUGGAUUAUGGCUGUCUGUCGGCUCGUGACGAGCCGGCUCGGCUGAAAUACACGAGCAACCCAGCUGGAACAGCGACGGCUUGACUCGGCGUAAUAACCUAUUUCGCUGAGGACGUCGCACUGUACGUUUCAAGUAGCGGUGCUUCUAAUGCAAAUCCAUCUUAAGCUUUAGACCUCAAAUCAGAUAGGACUACCCGCUGAACUUAAGCAUAUCAAUAAGCGGAGGAAAAGAAACUAACAAGGAUUCCCCUAGUAACGGCGAGUGAAGUGGGAAAAGCUCAACUUUGAAAUCUGACAGCUUUGCUGUCCGAGUUGUAGUCUCGAGAAGCAUUUUCCGCGCCGAAGCAUGUAUGAGUCUGUUGGAAUACAGCGUCACAGAGGGUGAGAACCCCGUUCAUGACAUGCCUUUCGGUGCUUUGUGAUAUGCUUUCGAUGAGUCGAGUUGUUUGGGAAUGCAGCUCUAAAUGGGUGGUAAAUUCCAUCUAAAGCUAAAUAUUGGCGGGAGACCGAUAGCGAACAAGUACCGUGAGGGAAAGAUGAAAAGCACUUUGGAAAGAGAGUUAAAAGUACGUGAAAUUGUCGAAAGGGAAACGCUUGAAGUCGGACGUGCAGGGCAACUUGCAGGCCAACAUCGGUUUCAUCAGCCGGAUAAAGGUGGAGGGAAGGUAGCAGCUCCGGCUGUGUUAUAGCCCUCCACUGAAUACGGAUGGAGAGACCGAGGACCGCAGCUUAUGCUUAGGAUGUUGGUGGAACGGCUUUAAACGACCCGUCUUGAAACACGGACCAAGGAGUCUAACAUGCUUGCGAGUGUUUGGGUGUCAAACCCAUACGCGUAAUGAAAGUGAAUGGAGGUGGGAUCCGCAAGGAGCACCAUCGACCGGUCCGGACGUUUACUGAAGGAUCUGAGUAAGAGCACGUAUGUUGGGACCCGAAAGAUGGUGAACUAUGCCUGAAUAGGGUGAAGCCAGAGGAAACUCUGGUGGAGGCUCGUAGCGGUUCUGACGUGCAAAUCGAUCGUCAAAUUUGGGUAUAGGGGCGAAAGACUAAUCGAACCAUCUAGUAGCUGGUUCCUGC